rnacentral:rRNA from 1 species
UGAUGACGAGACGCUAAGGCGUUGAAGCAGUGUAUGUCAGACUUCCAAGAAAAGCUCGCAAUGUCACAAAUAAGAAAUGCCUGUACCAUAACCGACGCAGGUGGGUAGGUAGAGUAUACUAAGGGGCGCGAGAUAACUCUCUCUAAGGAACUCGGCAAAAUGACUCCGUAACUUCGGUAGAAGGAGUGCCUUAUUUAUAAGGUUGCAAUAACAAGAUCCAAGCAACUGUUUAUCAAAAACACAGGUCUCCGCUAAGUCGUAAGACGAUGUAUGGGGGCUGACGCCUGCCCAGUGCCAGAAGGUUAAAGAAGUUGGUUAGUGUAUGCGAAGCUGAUGACUGAAGCCCUGGUGAACGGCGGCCGUAACAAUAACGGUCCUAAGGUAGCGAAAUUCCUUGUCGGGUAAGUUCCGACCCGCACGAAAGGCGUAAUGGUUUGGAUACUGUCUCGGAGAGAGGCUCGGUGAAAUAGACUUGUCUGUGAAGAUGCGGACUACCUGCACCAGGACAGAAAGACCCUAUGAAGCUUUACUGUAACUUGAAAUUGGAAUUGGACUUUGCUUGCGCAGUAUAGGUGGGAAGCGUUGAAAAUAUUCUUGCGGGAGUAUUGGAGCUAUCAGUGAGAUACCACUCUUGUAAUGUUAGAUUUCUAACUUUGAACCAUAAUCUGGUCAAAGAACAGUUUCAGGUGGGCAGUUUGACUGGGGCGGUCGCCUCCCAAAUGGUAACGGAGGCGUACAAAGGUUUCCUCUGAACGGAUAGAAAUCGUAUCUAGAGUGUAAAGGCAUAAGGAAGCUUGACUGUGAGACCUACAAGUCGAGCAGGGACGAAAGUCGGUCUUAGUGAUCUGACGGUACUGAGUGGAAAGGCCGUCACUCAACGGAUAAAAGUUACUCUAAGGAUAACAGGCUGAUCUCCCCCAAGAGUUCACAUCGACGGGGAGGUUUGGCACCUCGAUGUCGGCUCAUCGCAUCCUGGGGCGGUAGUACGUCCCAAGGGUUGGGCUGUUCGCCCAUGAAAGCGGUACGCGAGCUGGGUUCAGAACGUCGUGAGACAGUUCGGUCCAUAUCCGGUGUAGGCGCUAGAAUAUUGAGAGGAGCCUUCUUUAGUACGAGAGGACCGAGAAGGACACACCGCUGGUGUACCAGUUAUCGUGCCAACGGUAAACGCUGGGUAGCUAUGUGUGGAGUGGAUAACCGCUGAAAGCAUCUAAGUGGGAAGCCCACCUCGAGAUGAGUAUUCUCAAG